UGCAUUCAGUACUGUAAGUCGCAUUGGAUAAGAGCGUCUGCUAAAUGACUAAAA
rfam:Salmo salar isolate Sally breed double haploid chromosome ssa15, whole genome shotgun sequence.